rnacentral:rRNA from 1 species
AGAUUGAACGCUGGCGGCAUGCCUUACACAUGCAAGUCGAACGGCAGCACGGGAGCAAUCCUGGUGGCGAGUGGCGAACGGGUGAGUAAUAUAUCGGAACGUGCCCAGUCGUGGGGGAUAACGCAGCGAAAGCUGUGCUAAUACCGCAUACGAUCUAUGGAUGAAAGCGGGGGAUCGCAAGACCUCGCGCGAUUGGAGCGGCCGAUAUCAGAUUAGGUAGUUGGUGGGGUAAAGGCCACCAAGCCGACGAUCUGUAGCUGGUCUGAGAGGACGACCAGCCACACUGGAACUGAGACACGGUCCAGACUCCUACGGG